rnacentral:rRNA from 1 species
CCUACGGGUGGCAGCAGUGGGGAAUAUUGGGCAAUGGGCGCAAGCCUGACCCAGCAACGCCGCGUGAAGGAAGAAGGCUUUCGGGUUGUAAACUUCUUUUCUGAGGGACGAAGAAAGUGACGGUAUCCCAGGAAUACGCCACGGCUAACUACGUGCCAGCAGCCGCGGCAAUACGUAGGGGGCAAGCGUUAUCCGGAUUUAUUGGGUGUAAAGGGCGUGUAGGCGGGAAAGCAAGUCAGAUGUGAAAACUCAGGGCUCAACCCUGGGCCUGCAUUUGAAACUGGUUUGCUUGAGUGCGGGAGAGGCAAACGGAAUUCCGGGUGUAGCGGUGAAAUGCGUAGAUAUACGGAGGAACACCAGUGGCGAAGGCGGAUUACUGGACAGUAACUGACGCUGAGGCGCGAAAGCGUGGGGAGCAAACAGGAUUAGAUACCCCAGUAGUC